CUUCAAGUCUUACGCGGUGAAGAUGCGCGGCAGACUAAGAACUCCGAAUCGGCCUGACGCAGGAGCUCUACCUGACCUCAUGGCUCUCUGUAUAGCAUCCAGCAGGAAUUGGGUGACUACUGUGGACGGGCGGAACAUGAUAACGUCAUCACAUUUAGGUGACCCUCAUGGCUGACGUUGACUCAUAAGUGACUGGAUGAGAACUUCUAAUAUAAAGGCAUCGAUCUGAGCUUGAAUCUGGUGGCCUUGCCCCGUGGGCUGUAAUGCCUCCCUGGUUGAAAGUGGUUGUGCCCAGCCUAAAGUGGUCGUGUCCACCUGUGCAGACGGAACGUGCACAAACUGUGCCAUUGAACUCCCGUGAGUCAAAUCAACAUUGAUUGUGGACUGUCAUGGAAUGAAAUAAAACGCCUAAUACCAUUUUGAGAUUCUGUGUUAUUCAAUCUUGCAUUCAUGUUCAGUAAACUGAUGUUUGUAGCCACAAUAGUACACUGCUCAAAAAAUAAAGGGAACACUUAAACAACACAAUGUAACUCCAAGUCAAUCACACUUCUGUGAAA